rnacentral:rRNA from 1 species
UUUCCCUCAUCAAUGUAAGACUACCCGCUGAACUUAAGCAUAUCAAUAAGCGGAGGA